AUCUUUUUAGCAAAUAAUUGCAUAAAACUUAGAAUUUUAUUAUACUUACAAUUACUGAAAUUAUU
rnacentral:tRNA from 1 species